rnacentral:lncRNA from 1 species
ACAGAAAAUGCAAAUAGUCUGAGCCAGAAAUAAUUGACAGAAGGCUAGUGUGGCUGCUGAACAGAGAGAGAGCAAGCAGGAAGGAAGAUCAGGGUGGAGUAAAAGACAAGACCGUGCAAAGCUUUAUCAGCUACAUCAGAUAAUUUAGAUUUUAUCCUAAUGUAGUGAGAAGGUUUUGAAGGAUCUUAAAUAGUGAUACAACAGGCUCCUUCGGGCUGCAAUGUGUAAAAUUGAAGGUGCCUGCUUCCCCUUCAUCUUCUGCCAUGAUUGUAAGUUUCCUGAGGCCUCCCCAGACAUGCGGAACUUUUUACAAACUGAAGUCAAGGAGUACCUUCAAUCAAGUCUCCCACAGGGAAAGAAAAAAAGCCAACAGAAUUACCAAAGCCCUUUCUUCUCUUUUCUUUUCCAGCUCUCACUCUGGGGGAAACAAGCUACCAUGUUGUGAAAAGCCCUAUGGGGAGGCCCACGCGAUGAGGAACUGAAGCUUUCAGCCACCAGCCAGGGAGGAAUGGAGCCCUGUCAGCAACCACAGGAAUGAACUUGGAAGCAGAUUCACCAGCAACAGUCUAGCUCUGGUCAACAGCUCUAGCAGCCUCAAGAGAGACCUGGUGGCAGAAUCAUGCAGAAAUGCUGUUUUUUGAUUCCUCAGAAACUGUGGGAGAAAAUAAGAGUUUGUUUUUUAAAACUGCAAAUGUGGAGAUGGUUUGUUACACAGCAGUGGAGUGCUGCUAUGUGAGCUGAAGUUGCUCCAGUCACAUUUCUUUCACUCUGCUUUCCAGCCUCUUUUCUCAC